rnacentral:lncRNA from 1 species
GGUUGAGAGAGCUUAGGCCGAUGUUAAAUAAGAGUUGCUCCUUCAGGAGGUCAGAGAGGAGAGGAGCUGGAUAAGCCUUAAGUUUAUUGGAGGCUUCAAGAUCGUCCCUUCCCAGGCUAGAAGCCCGACGGACGAAGUCCCUCAGGGAGCCCCAAGGGGGCAACCCCAGCUCCGAGGUUGGGUAUCGGAUGUAGAAGUACUUCUCCUUCCAGUUGUGG